ACAAAAACUUAGCAAGCUUUGUUUGGCAUAUUUAUAUUUAUAUUAAUAAAUAUGCCAAACAAAGCUUGCUAAGUUUUUG
rnacentral:miRNA from 1 species